rnacentral:rRNA from 1 species
CCUACGGGAGACAGCAGUGAGGAAUAUUGGUCAAUGGGCGCGAGCCUGAACCAGCCAAGUAGCGUGAAGGAUGACUGCCCUACGGGUUGUAAACUUCUUUUAUAAAGGAAUAAAGUGAGGCACGUGUGCCUUUUUGUAUGUACUUUAUGAAUAAGGAUCGGCUAACUCCGUGCCAGCAGCCGCGGUAAUACGGAGGAUCCGAGCGUUAUCCGGAUUUAUUGGGUUUAAAGGGUGCGUAGGCGGCCUUUUAAGUCAGCGGUGAAAGUCUGUGGCUCAACCAUAGAAUUGCCGUUGAAACUGGGGGGCUUGAGUAUGUUUGAGGCAGGCGGAAUGCGUGGUGUAGCGGUGAAAUGCUUAGAUAUCACGCAGAACCCCGAUUGCGAAGGCAGCCUGCCAAGCCAUGACUGACGCUGAUGCACGAAAGCGUGGGGAUCAAACAGGAUUAGAUACCCUUGUAGUC